rnacentral:misc_RNA from 1 species
UACGUAGGUGGCAAGUGUUGUCCGGAGUUAUUGGGCGUAAAGCGCGCGCAGGCGGUUCUUUAAGUCUGAUGUGAAAGCCCGCGGCUCAACAGUGGAGGGUCAUUGGAAACUGGGGAACUUGAGUGCAGAAGAGGAAAGUGGAAUUCCACGUGUAGCGGUGAAAUGCGUAGAGAUGUGGAGGAACACCAGUGGCGAAGGCGUCUUUCUGGUCUGUAACUGACGCUGAGGCGCGAAGGCGUGGGGAGCAAACAGG